rnacentral:sRNA from 1 species
AGAGGUGCAGUCCCAGAGGUGGCGUGCCGCCGACUUUGCGUUUGCCUUGCUGGGUGAUUCCGCUUGUUUGCCGCCUGCGUGAGUGCUUAGAGCUUUUCGGUGGAAGAUGCCGGACAGUAACUUCGCAGAGCGCAGCGAGGAGCAGGUGUCUGGUGCUAAAGUCAUCGCUCAGGCCCUGAAAACGCAAGAUGUGGAGUACAUAUUUGGCAUCGUAGGCAUCCCAGUGACCGAAAUCGCCAUUGCUGCCCAGCAGCUAGGCAUCAAGUACAUCGGGAUGAGGAAUGAGCAGGCGGCUUGUUAUGCUGCCUCCGCGAUUGGAUAUCUGACAAGCAGGUAAACUAAAAUUUGUUUCACUUCAAUUACUUUAAUAUUUUGGGGUAGAACUAUUACGUCUUUCAGCUGAAGGAUGAGUUCAUUUGGAAAGAUUAUAGAAAAAUAUAUUAAAUAACAAAGGAUAAAAGACAUUUAAAACUCUCUGAGGACCACAUCAAAAGAAUAAUGAUACCAGGAGUGUUUCAGAGUGGAACACAUUGCCAUUUUGCAGAGUGAAUCACUGGUGAUCAGA